UUUGAACUAUUUUCGAUAUCUUCAAUUAUUAUUAAUAUUAUUUAAUAUCGAUAUCAUUUAAUUAAUGUAUUUCGAUUAUUUAAUCGAUACUACUAUCGAUGUACAUUUAUAUACGACUUGUUCAAUUGUUAUUUUAGAAUUGUGCUAUGAAUUUGCAAUAAUAUUUGAAAUUUCAAAUCUUCAAUUACUGAAAACAUAUUUUUUUAAUAUACACGAAAUUUAUAAGCUUUUAUUUGCUGAUUAUAAUGAAUGAAGAGUAUAGUUUAUUUCUAUUUUGAACGGAUCUGUUACAAGAGAAAGGUUAUGGCACAAUGAAUCAAAAUAUUCUUUUUUUUUUGCACAAUGCACUGAUACGCAUGAGAAUUAUAACAUUUUGAUAACAUUGUGACUAGACAAAGGCGAGAUUAAUAUCGCACGCGUGCAUAAUGCUUGUAUGACCUUAAUUGCUAUUAGCAUGCCACGCGAUUAUUACUCGUGAAACAUGAUCGAUUCAGUUGAAUUAUUUGAUCACUCUUAGUGAACGAAAAAAUAAUACUAUAAAAUUAUAUUGUCGCAACAAAAAUUAUUAAAACAAACAAUUUCCAAUUAUAAAAAUGAUUUUAUAUAGUUGGAAUCAUUUUCUUUUUUUUUCAAAAAUACAGUAAUUAUAAAUAAAAAUGCAGUAAUCACAUAUUUUUAAAUUCCUUUACAUUCUUUUGUAUUUUUAUAUCAUUAAUAUAAUCAAUAAAAAUAUUAUUUCACUUAUUUUUUAAUUUUUUAAUUUUUUUUUGUUAAAAAGAAAAAGAUUAUGUAGAUUAACAAAAAUAAUAGUUUAGAAUUUAUUUUAAAAUUAAUUUUAAAAUAUGUUUCUAUUAGAUUCCAAGAGACUUUGAUGAUCAUCAACACAAGAAUUUCAAAUGCCUCAUUCAAUGAGCAAUGCAAAAGAUAAAAUGUAUUUUCUAAUAAACUUAUACAAAAAAUAUCGAAAAUGAAUCAUAAAGGUUGAAAAAUGUAUGUGAUAAAUAAUCAAAAUUCAUCAAAAAUCAUUGAUUAUGCUUUCAACAUUUUUUAAAUUCAUAAAUCUAUUAAAAAAUCAUUUGAAUACUUUUUACAUUUUAUAAAGAAUAUAUAAAAAUAUUAAAAUAUAUAAAAAUAUAUAAAUAUUAUAAAAAUAACGAAAAAUAAUAUAUAGGGGUUGAUUAUCUUUUAAACUUACAAAAACAUUAUAUGAAUGUUUUUUUAUUGUCCUUCAUUCCACAAUUGUGAUGAUUAUCAUCCAUAAUUGUAUGAAGAUAAUAAUGAAUGAAGAUAAAUAAAAUUGAUUAAAAAUGUUAUCAUGAAGUAAACGAAUUAUCAGUUUUUUUUAAAUUCAUGAAGAAAUUAUCAGAUCAAUCUUUUAUUAUCCUUGAACAUAAUCAUGAUAUAUCAAAUAAUAAAAAAUAUAGUUUUCAUUAUUUUUUUUAAAUUUAUAAUGAGAUCAUUAGAACAUUAUUUUAUUAUUCUUGAUCAAAGCAUGAUCGUGUGUAACAUAUACAAAAGUAAUAUAAAAUAAAGUAACGUCAAAAUGUUACCGUUAAUUAUUCUUGCGUUUACAAAGCUUACGAUUAAGCUUACGAUUAGAAUUUUGCAGAGAUCGAAACGUAAAUCCGAAAAAAUUCGAUGUAUAUUUUUUCAUUAUUUAUCAAGAAAAAGUCGCAUAAUUUGCUCUGUCUCACCGCGCUACGUUGCUCACUAUACGCACCACGCGCGACUAACUUCAAAGAUUUCGUAUCGCGGUGAUUUUAUGCGAAUACAAAUAAGAAUCGAACGUUAAAAUAUAGUUAAAAUGAAACUUGUAUCAUUAAUGCAAAAUCAUUAACAAUACAAUAAAUAAUUUCUUUGAAAUUUUUCUUGAUUUUUAAUGAAAAUGUUUAAAAAUUAAAAAAUCAAAUUAAAUUAAAUUUUAUAACAUUAUUAUUUUUGCAGUAUAGAUAAAAUUUAUUUCUUGAAAGUUAGAAUUAAAUAAAAAAAGAUUUAAAAGAAAGAUUAAUAAUAGAUAAGAUUACUGAUUGUCUUUAAACAAAAAUAGUGGAUUUUUCAAACUCCAAAAAAAGAAAUUAAAUAAAUUAUGAAAAAAUUGUUUGUUUAAAAGAAAUAAUAAGUUUUUUAUAGCUUUUAGUUAUUUUAAGAGAAUAAUUUUGUUAAUUCUAAAACAAAUUAAAAAUCAAUUUAAAUUAAAAAUUCAAAAUAUUAAGAAAACUCCCAAUUAAUAUUUAAUAAAAUAAAACAAUUUUGUUUCCAUAAAAAAAUAAUUAGAAUUUUUAUAAUUUCUUUUCUUUUUUCAUUUUUUAGAAGAAAAAAGAAUAUUUUUGUAAAGUAAUUUUGAUAAGGAAUUAUUUUGUAUCAAUAAUAAAUUGUUCAUUUUAUUUCACAAAACUUUCUUCUUCACGGUUUCUGAGUUGGAGAGAGUUUUAGGAACAUAUAAAUAUAUUCUGCUCAUGUUAUUGACCUUACUGCAAAUAAUGUUCAAAGAAUAUUAAAAAUGAAUUCGAACGAUCAGAGAUAAUUGUAUGAAUUUUGAUUUAAUGUUGGAUAUGUUUAAAAAUGAUUGGACAAACUAUACGGUUUUUAAAAUGAUUUUUUUCGAUUCAUUAUAUAUCUUCAAUAAUUUCGCAAUAAAUAUUUUAAAGUUUA